CUUGCAUGCCGAAGAGUCCAUGUCCCUCCCGCCCAGCAGAAACCCACACCUGUGACUGAUGGGAGUGGUGGACAAAUACCCACAACUUCCUCUCUCUACUCUUGGCUGAGGACAAUUCUGAAGUGAGCCCUACACUGUCUCCCAGAUGCAGUCUGACCUGAGCCACGAAGAAGUGCAGAGUCCCCAAGAGGCCAGAGAGCUCACAUCUGGUUAGAGUCGGUGUGUUUGAUGGGAAGAUGAAAGGAGGAGCUGGCAUCUGAGGAAGUAGAAGAUCCUUGAGUGACAAGGGUAAGACAGCAGGGUCCACUCCCCAUCAAAGGCCUCCGAUGCUUCUCUUUCAGCAGGAAAUCAACAUUCAAGGGGAGACCCAAUGAAGAAGAUAGUGCCAGAACUUGAUGGAGGCAGCCCAAGAGGAACGUGUACCUUGGGAAGUCAAGAGCUAUUUCUUGGACAUUUGUGCUUCUAUUCCAAACUCUUCUCUCAGAGUAGAUGGCAACUCAGGAAGGAGCCAGAGAUCUUCCUCAGUUGACUUGUUCAGAAAUAUGAUUUGGGAUUCAGUCUGGCCGGAAGCCAUGCUUCCAGCCUCAUCUCCACUGUGCAAUUUCCAUGGCGUUCUGUCUUGGUCCACUUGGCUUGUGUAGCUGCCUGGCCUGGGUUGUCCUCCCCACCCUUGUCUGCUUGGUGGCACUUGGCCCUGUUCUAAUUGCUUCUGCUCAGGCAGCUUCUCUCCUCCCUCCUCUGUGCUCUGAGCACACUGGACAGAUUCCUGUUAGAGCUGUCACUGUCUUCCUGCUGUCUGCCCACUGACCUUGGAGCUCCAGGAGGACAGGAGCCUUAUCUUACCCCACGACAUGGCUUAUGCCCAGGCUGGUGCCAAAGUGGUCUGGAGGUAUCUGUAGGCUGAAUGAAAUUCUUCCCUCUGGGAUGCCCUUUAAAGUUGUUUUCUUUCUGGAACCUGGGGCAGUGACUGGAAUGGUUGGAAUGUGGCCUUGGUUUGCCAUUGGGUGUUUUGUUCCUCCGAGCAUUGGCUGGACUCUCUGGUGAUUUCUGGUCUUGGAGGACUUCCUGUUUUAAAUGUCCGUGGGGUUGUGGUUCCCGAGCUGCUACACUGUCUCCCAUAACCUUUCUCUCUAUCCUGGCCUGGUCUAUCUUCCACACCAUAACUUUCCUCUAGGUCAAUUGGUCCAGGACCAUCAGGAACCAGUGAACCACACUCCUGACCAUUCUCCAAAUAGUCAUUUGGCCAAAUACGAGGUACAUGGCAGCUCUUUCUUUUCUGGACCCCACUUCACCUCUGAGCAGCUUCCUUCUCCCAGGAGCUGAAGCUCCCCCACGAUGUCUCAAUGCCAGGCAGAUGCGCUUGACCUUCUGCCUUUUGGGGCCCUCACCAAGCUAAGGAUUUUUAAUCAUUCAACUAAUGUAUUACAGUGGGAAAGACACCCCACUAAGGGGCUUCACUAAAUAUCCUUUCCAGUUGAUAAGAUCAUUUUUUUUAAUCCAUCUACAAACUCUUGAGUUUUAAACCCCAUGAGUUAUUUACCAUACACUUGUAUCCCCUACAGUGAUUUUUAAAGUGCCAUGGCUGUUUCUCCACUGGCUGUGGAGUGAGCUGAUGUUACUGCAGGUUGAGGUUGAGCCACUUUGCUUCAACGACGGUUCCAGGAGUCCUUUUGGGCACUGACUGUGGGUCCGGUCCUGAGCUGAGUGCACAGAGGGGAGGUUGAGGGAGUCAACACAACUCAGAGGUGUCCUUGUUCUCCAGGGGCUCUAGGUUCUGACCUGCACCCAACCACAAGCUGACUUGAGUCAAAAAGUCACAAAGUGUGACUUGGGGUUUUCUAUCCCAGGAUCUUGGCCAGAGCUUCAUUUGGAAGCCCCAGAGACCUGGACCAGACUUGCAGGUAGACAUUCACCAAUGUGUGAUCUGAGGGCUGCUCAAAGGGACCUCCCCACUUCCCACAUGGAGCACUCUCGGGAUUAGCCAUCACCAGAAACUCCUUUCCCACAGGACAGAGCCCAGACAACUCAUUCUGUCUUCAAAAGCCACCACUGUCUGGCACCAACCCACUUUUCCAACCUCCACCUCCUGCGACUUCAGCCACAUGGAACAAGCAUGGACUGAUGUUCUCUAUACCUUUCCAACUCCAGCUCUUGGCUUCUGCGGUUUUCUCUGCCAAUGAGGCUGUGCUGUCUAUUACUGAGUAACAAUAUUACCAUACACUUAGCACCUUUAAACAAUACACACUUAUUAUCUCAUAAUUUCUGUGGGUCAAGAAUUCAGCUGUGGCUUAGCUGGGUCCUCUGAAAGGCUGCAAUGAAGAUGUCAGCCAGGACUGUGGUCUCAAUCCAAGCUUCAGCUAGAGAAGGAUCUGCUUCCCAACUUCGCAUAGGUUGGUAAGAUUCAGGCUCUUGCAAGUGAUCGGACCAAGGCCCCCAGUUUGUUGUUGGCUGUUGGCUGGAGGCUGCCCUCAGUUUCUAGCUGGUUGUGGGCAGUUGCCUUGAGUUCCUUGCCACAUGAGCCUCCUCACCAUGAAUGCUUUCUUCUUCAAAGCCGGUGAGAGAGAGGCUCUUCUAAUAAGAUGGACUUUACAAGCUCACAUUAUGUAAUCACAGUAGCAACACCUGUCACCUUUGUUAUACUUUAUUGCUUAGCAUCAAGUCACAAUUCCUGCUGAUACUCAAAAGGUAGGGAUUACAUCAGGGCGUGGGCACCAAGAGGUGGGGAUCAUGGGGCCACUUUAGCCUCUGUCUCCACCCAUCUCCUUCUCCCAACCUCCCUGUCCAUUCUAGAAACAGCAACCUAGUAAAAUUCAUGAAAGCUUCCCUUAGUCACCUCAACCACAGGGCUUUGCUUACAUCGUUCUUUAGUACUUCAUUCAUUUAUUCAACAAAAUACAUAUUGAGCAUCUGCCGUAUGACUGGAGCUAGAGGUAGUGUAGUAUAAUGGUUAAGGCUUCAAGUUCUGGAAUCAGAGUCUCUUGUUCCAAAUCCUGGGUCUCCACUUCAUGCUGGGUCUCAAUAAACUCAUCUCUAAAUAAUACUAGGAGAUUUGUAAGUUUGAAGGUUAAUUUUAUGUGUCAGCUUUCCUGGGUCAUGGGGUGCCCAGGUAUGGGGUCAUACAUUAUUGUGGGUAUUUUUGUAACAUUUAAUGUUAAUCUCAUCCGAAAUUAAUAAUGAGGUGAGUGGGCUUUAUCCAGUAAGUUGAAGCCCUGUGUGGAACAAAAGUCUGACCCUCCCCCUAGUAAGAGAGAAUUCUUCCUAUUUGGUGGCCUUUAUCAGAACUUCCUGGUUCUAUGGCAGCUGUCAUCCUUCUGACUUGAACCGGAACAUCAGCUCUGCAGAUUUUGGACUUGCCAGUCUCCAUAACUGUAUAAGUCAAUUCCUUAUACUAAAUCUCUUUUUAUAUAUCCCCUAUUGGUUCUGUUUUUCUGGAGAACUUGACUCAUACAGUUAGGUUAAAUGAAAUCACACAUGUAGAAAACAGCAUGGAGCUGGGCUCCUAGUAAGAAAUCAAUGAAGAUUAAAUUUUAUUUUAGGGGCUGGAGAACCAGUAAUGAUUCAGUGCGAUGUUGUCCAGCCUUCAUGGAGCCCAUGCAGCCUUUCUCAUGAGUGAUUGCGUGUGUGCUGUACCUCCCCAGCAGGGCUCCAGGGACGUGUCUGAGAGCAGAUCACACUGUUUGUCUUCUCUGUCACCUCCCUUGCCCCUAGCUUGGGUCUGGAACACUCAGGGCUUCAGUGACUGGGCGCAGGAUGGAUGCCCUCCAACCCAACACCCCUUGGCAGUAUGCCAUUGGCAACAGGGCAAAUCUACUUGAUGCCAGUCCUCAGGCCCCCUCCGUGCAGCCAGCCACGCUGGUUUUCCAGCUUCCACGUUUGUCAUGUAGUGUGCUCAGAUGCUCCGUUCUUCCUCUUCAUUCUGUGGAUGAGAAAUUAUGGCCAACCAAGAGUUCUGCCUUCCUCCUUCCGUGCUUGCUGCUUGAUGAAAGUGGGUUGCUAGUGUGUCAUGUGGAUACAUUUCUCAGUCUGAGAACACAGGGAGUGGUGCUGGGAGUGAGUGGGCAGAGGGUGAAGGGUGGUGGCUGGGAGGGGAGAGCUAGAGCCUCUGAAACCACAUGGUGGACAUUUGCCUUUGAUUGUUUGCUUGCCCGGAAUCUGACCUGUGCUCUCCUAUGUUGUGAGAAUCCUCACUGUGUGCGUCUUACUGGGAGGCAGGGCUCUGUCAUACACAGUGAAAGCCAGAGGCCCAGGCUGCCCUUUCUCUAAGUGCUGGCAUCCAGGGCCUGGGCACUAAGGCAGAUUUGGUUUUAGGCUGCUGGCUUGGGUUAGUUUAAGAUAACUCUGGUUAUUUCGGGUUAUUGCAGAAGUCCUAGACAGAUUGGAGAGAUCAGCCCAUCAAGUAUAUGCUGAUCUGGGGUCCACAGAGAAUCCAAAACAGUAUACUCUCUGCAGUCAACAUUUUCUCAGCUCAGACUUUGCUUCCCAACAUCCUUUUAUUUCUUUUUUGUAGGGAAGCUGAGGGAGAGGGUAAAACUGCAAUUAGCUGCCUGCCCUUACUGUCUGGGCCUGUACCCAGCUCAUCGGGACUGUGUUCGCAGUGUUCACAUGGUAAACGUGUCACCAGGGGCCAACUGCAGCCUCAAAGGCAGGGAGUGGGAUAGGAAAAUUGGGCUAUAAAUAAGUCAGAAAAGCAGCUUUUUGAAAAAGGAGUGGCUACUUACAAAACUUAGGAUUCUCGAAGUGGAAAGAACCUUAGAAAUUUAGAAAUGGAAUCAGAGUUGGAAUCUACCUCAGGAGUUUAGGCCAAUUAUGCAAAUUCCUUUCUUUUUGGAGUGAUUGGCUGAGGUGUGGGAAUAUGACUUCACCCUAGCCAAUGAGAUGGAAAGGGGAGCCUGGGAGGACAUCUGGGGAUGUUUCCUUC